rnacentral:lncRNA from 1 species
GUGAAGUUGCCACAAGCAAAAAGUUUCUUUAAAGCCGGCUUCUCAUGGAUAGAUCAAGCGCUACAUAAGAGAAACAUAUUUUUCUUUACAAAUACUACCAUUCCUGAUUAGCCAAAGCCACAAACAAUGCAAGAACCAGCUCCUCCUCCUCAAUCCUUAAAUUUGUCUCGUGGUGUCAUUAAGUUCUCUGAACUCUCAAAAUGCAUUUUCACGUACUCAAAUUUUAUCUAGAUAUAAUUAAACUCUAACUAGCCCAUAUGUUUGUCUCUACUGCUUCUUC